GAUGAACGCUAGCGGCAGGCCUAACACAUGCAAGUCGAGGGAGGAGCCUUCGGGCUUCGACCGGCGUACGGGUGCGUAACGCGUAUACAAUCUGCCUUUCACAUAGGGAUAGCCCGAAGAAAUUUGGAUUAAUACCUAAUGGUAUAUAGAUGUGGCAUCACCUUUAUAUUAAAGCUGAGGCGGUGAAAGAUGGGUAUGCGUUCUAUUAGCUAGUUGGAGAGGUAACGGCUCCCCAAGGCGACGAUAGAUAGGGGUUCUGAGAGGGAUAUCCCCCACACUGGUACUGAGAUACGGACCAGACUCCUACGGGAGGCAGCAGUGAGGAAUAUUGGACAAUGGUCGGAAGACUGAUCCAGCCAUGCCGCGUGCAGGAAGACGGCCUUAUGGGUUGUAAACUGCUUUUGCAGGGGAAGAAUAAGGACUACGCGUAGUUUGAUGACGGUACUCUGCGAAUAAGCAUCGGCUAACUCCGUG
rnacentral:rRNA from 1 species